AUUUACUAUGAUUAACAGAAGCCUUUCCUACUUAACAAUAGUGUUUUCAGUUCGCGGCUUUUACUCCUGGGUGCUUAGAAUUCCCUUCACGGAUCUAUCAUUUCCCUUGUGAUCACACCUGUCAGUCACCUGCUCUCUGCACCCCGCUUUCACCUGGUUUCUUACUGUGCUUGUCCACAGCUCGGCACGCUCAGAGGAGACUCUUCUUUCCCUUGCACUGUGCUCUCUCCUCGACUGGCUUCUCCCUUCACCGUGUGCCCACAGCACGUGCACGCUGACAAGGCCGCACUGGCUGUCGAUGACCCGGGCUCAGCGUGGGCAGCUCUGGCCAGCUGUCGAGGUGACCCGCGGUGGCACAGAUUCAAGAUUUUAGUGCAGAUGUCGGGAUUUGCAGUACUCCCUUACUUUCCUCAAGAUGACUCUACAGGGACAACAACAAGAAGGUGAGAAGGGAGAGUCUGACCUCAGGCAUCGGCGGCACUGAAUGGGAAGGCUGUGGACUGUUGAGGGCACUGAUCACGAAGGCUGCCUCCCGAGCUGGAAGCAGAGAAGCUCCAUCAAAAGCGGGGAGCUUUGGCGAGAG
rnacentral:lncRNA from 1 species